GGAGACGGCACCCAGGCAGAACGCUCCAGCCUGUCACACCGUAGAUGAACCCCACAAAGCCCGCUGACACAGAUAAAACUACAGUGUGGUGAUGUCUACAACGCCGAGAGGCCCCGGAUGUCUACAACGCCGAGAGGCCCCGGAUGUCUACAACGCCGAGAGGCCCCGGAUGUCUACAACGCCGAGAGGCCCCGGAUGUCUACAACGCCGAGAGGCCCCGGAUGUCUACAACGCCGAGAGGCCCCGGAUCCUGGGAGCUGCCCAGCACAGCACGCAACCAGCGCCCCUCCUUGUGACUGGGUCUGGGGGCAGCUGGAGUGCUGAAGCUCCGAAAAGAAACCUUAGAAGAAUCAUCCCAAGGGACCAGGCCUGAGAGAAGUCAAAGAAAGAGUGAAUCUAGGAGGCGUUGGAGAACGGACAAGGCUUACGGUAUUUCAGAACUUCGACUGACGGUGCUGUUCACCGGUCCAGCGGUUGCCGACCUGGGUUCGGGGUUGGGGAACGUACUUUGGGACUUCAAAUCCAAAGGGCAAAAUAUCAAAAAACAAACAAACAAAAAAC